UACGUAGGGUGCAAGCGUUAAUCGGAAUUACUGGGCGUAAAGCGUGCGCAGGCGGUAAUGUAAGACAGUUGUGAAAUCCCCGGGCUCAACCUGGGAACUGCAUCUGUGACUGCAUUGCUGGAGUACGGCAGAGGGGGAUGGAAUUCCGCGUGUAGCAGUGAAAUGCGUAGAUAAGCGGAGGAACACCGAUGGCGAAGGCAAUCCCCUGGGCCUGUUCUGACGCUCAUGCGCGAAAGCGUGGGGAGCACACAGC
rnacentral:rRNA from 1 species